GACAGAGGAUGCAAGCGUUAUCCGGAAUGAUUGGGCGUAAAGCGUCUGUAGGUGGCUUUUUAAGUCCGCCGUCAAAUCCCAGGGCUCAACCCUGGACAGGCGGUGGAAACUACCAAGCUGGAGUACGGUAGGGGCAGAGGGAAUUUCCGGUGGAGCGGUGAAAUGCGUAGAGAGUUGAAAGAACACCAACGCGAAAGCACUCUGCUGGGCCGACACUGACACUGAGAGACAAAAGCUAGGGGGAGCGAAAUGGGG
rnacentral:rRNA from 1 species